rnacentral:rRNA from 1 species
AGCGAACGCUGGCGGCAGGCCUAACACAUGCAAGUCGAACGAACCCUUCGGGGUUAGUGGCGGACGGGUGAGUAACACGUGGGAACGUGCCUUUAGGUUCGGAAUAACUCAGGGAAACUUGUGCUAAUACCGAAUGUGCCCUUCGGGGGAACGAUUUAUCGCCUUUAGAGCGGCCCGCGUCUGAUUAGCUAGUUGGUGUGGUAAUGGCUCACCAAGGCUACGAUCAGUAGCUGGUCUGAGAGGAUGACCAGCCACAUUUGGACUGAGACACGCCCCAAACUCCUACGGGAGGCAGCAGUGGGGAAUCUUGCGCAAUGGGCGAAAGCCUGACGCAGCCAUGCCGCGUGGAUGAUGAAGGUCUUAGGAUUGUAAAAUCCUUUCACCGGUGAAGAUAAUGACUGUAGCCGGAGAAGAAGCCCCGGCUAACUUCGUGCCAGCCGCCGCGGUAAGAC